UUGCUCUCCAGCUCGUAGCUCAGUGUACCUUAAGUAAUGGCUCCCAUGAUAAAUUCCGCUUAGAGUUUAAUGCCAGGAGCCUGUUUAUGUCCCCUGAAAACUGGCCUUUUGUUCUGGCGGGGAGAACACUAUAUCCUUUUGCUUCUACUUUGGUCUGAGCUGCCAGGGCCUCAGAGCUAAAGUGAGUGAUUAAUUGCCACAAGCUCCAUAUUUUCGGUGAAAGCUGCAGCUCUUUCUUUCCCCGUUCACCAUGCCUUCUAGGAGAGAGGAGGGUCAAAGCCCCAGAGAGACCAACUUGCUGCCUAAUGGAGACACUGGUAAGUGGGUACUGGACCACUGCCCUGGACUUAAAUAGGAACCUCUUCUGUCCUGCCAAUCCGAGAACUCACCAAACACAAAGAAGGCACUUACUGAGCCUGCCCCGUUGCCCAGCACAGAGAACUGGCACAGGAUCUGUGGAGAAUGGCGGCCAAUAAAGCUGGCCAGUGCCAUCCAUCUCAGCAAAGCUAAGCUGGCUCUCAGCAGAGGUUGGCAAAGCAAGGCUGCCCAGAUGUUGGUACUGAACCCCUGAUUCUCAGGCCACCUUGCCAGUCUUCAACCUGCCUCACCAGAAUAUCCAUGGGCCAGGUUUCCUGAAGACCCUAUGUCUUCCUUCUCCUGGAACGGAGUGGCCAGCAGUGGCUAAAGGUUGGAAGCAAGGCAGGCUGGCAAGUUGAUCUAACUCUGCAGUGGAGGGAAAGAGACCUUUCCUGGAAAGCCUGUUAUCUCCUGCAAUGUGAGAGACUCUUCCAGGAAGUCUUCCCCAACACCUCAACCCCUCUGAGCUGCAUCCAGCUGCCCUGAGCAGAUCCAAUGGCACUCAUUCGACACAGGCCUCCUACAGAUUCGAAUACUGCUUUGUCUGUCUGUGGGCUCUUUCUCUGCUAUGGAUGGCUGGGCUAAAUUGGUCCUCUGGUGACAUCAAUACUGCACAUGCUGGAAGUGACACCUCUCAGACCUCAUCUUACACUUCUCAGAGGUGCAUUGGGACAGUGGCUCAGCAGUUCGAACAGUGACUUCAACAAGGCACAAGUUUAUAACUCACCUUCGCAAAGGUCUCAGCCCCUGAGGCAUUUCUGGGGUCACCUGGCAAGACCUGACCUCAUCAAGCAGCUAGCAGAAAGGAGUGACAGUGAUUAUUACCAUGUGGCAUUCAUCAUGACCUCUCUCCACGUACACAUUAUGCUUUCAGGGUAUUGCAGUGUAUUGCCUUGUUCCGGCUCUUUGCCACAAGGCUCUGGCCAAUGGGCUGCACUUGCUGCUCUUCAGAAGAUAGGAAGAAAGCUGAGGUUCCAUUCCCUUGGGAACAGAAGUGUGUGACACAAACGUACCACUCCGGGCAGUUUCCACAGAGUUACCUCUUCCAGUCUCCUGUCUGGCCACCUUGUAUCUGGGGCAGCUAUUUCCUGGAACUUUCCACAACCUUCAUGUUUCUAGCCCUGCUAAUGAUUUGACUGCAUUGCUAAUAUUUUAAUUUGUGUGUGGGGGGUGUGCAUGUUCAUGUGUGUGAAUGUGGGCAUAUGCAUGCCACAGCACAUGUGUAGCAGUCAGAGGAAAUUCUUGGAUGUCUGGUCUCGACUACUAUCUUGUUUGAGACAGGGCUUUUCCACAACGCAUAUACCAGGCUUGCUGGCCUUUUCUGGGAAUUCUCCGGUCUCCACCUUCCAUCUCACCAAAGAAAUACUGGGACUACAGACAAGUAUACUACUAUGCCUAACUUUACAUCAGGUCCUCAUGCUUAUGUGGCAAAGCUCUUUAUCCAUUAACCCCUCUCCAUGGCUCAUCAUUUUAUUUCAUGAGUGCUCAACCCUCGAUGUUGAUUACUGUUUGGAAUACUUAGAAUAAUAAUAGUAAUAAUAAUAUUUUCUUCUUGUCCUGCACCCACACUCACUAUUGGGGGACAUUUGCCUUUUCCUCAUGGUCAGAACUCAGCUCAGGACCAUAUCUAGGGAGGCCAGGAAAUGAAGACUUUUUUACUCUGAGGGGGCAUGGACUCAGCUGACAUGCAGGUAAACUACGAAAGGAAGGAGGAAAAGAUGUACAUGGAAGUAUAGUAGCCACCCAUCUUGGGUGUCAUGAUAAAUUCUAGCCAGAGGAGGCCUUGUAAAAGCUUCUACUGGCUCUGCAGCAUCCCAAGGCCACACACCUACCGUGAUCCCAUGAUUCUAGAACCCCACCUGGAAGCUCAGGUCUGCCCACGUCACCAGUUUCUCUGCUACUGAUGCUCUGACCAUGGUAUGAAGGUAUAAGUGGGAUGAGCAAGGUCUUAGGAUUGGGAUGGGGCUGCUGUAAGCUAUCUCAUCCCCUGACUGUCCUCAUGCCCUGCACUGAUAAGGACCUAUGUUUGGUAAUAGAGAUGCUGUGACAGCUCAGAUGGAGCCACUGCUCUCCAGACACUCAUAGCCUUCCCAACACAGACCCACUUAGGUCCCUUUAGCAUGAGGUCCAAACACAUGCAGCAAAAAAGCUAUGAGCCAGGUGGUGGUGACACACACCUUUAAUCCCAGCACUCAGGAGGCAGAGACAGACAGAUCUCUGUGAGUUUGAGGCUAGCCUGUUCUACAGAGUGAGUUCCAGGACAGGCUCCAAAGCUAGAGAGAAAUCCUGUCUUGAAAAAUCAAACAAACAAACAAAAAAUAGCUAUGAAUGUGACCCAAUACAAAAUUGUAAGCUUACUUAAAAUGUGAUUCUUUUUUGCCUGCCUCUCCCCAGAACACCAACUGCAAUGGUGUUCUCGGGUGUGAACUUCAUGGAUGACAGUGCCCUGUCACAGUGCUCAGUGAGUUAAAGUACUUGCCAUGACGUCAGACACCUGGCUUCCAUUCCCAGGUUCGCACGAUAGCCUGAGAGAAACUGAAAGCUGCACUCCGAGCUCCCCAAACACACAGUGGCACAUGCAACCCUCACCCCCACACUGUGCUCUAAAUAAUAAAGUGUUAAAGGGUAGGCAUGCUUGCUAAGGGUUAUUUGCUUUUCUCCUCAUUGGAAAAAGAUGUGUUAUCCCCCACCCCCCACACACCCCAAAAUCCUGAAGCCAAAUGUAGGACAUUUUCCUAGAUCUCCAGGCAGAGUGAACUACCCAUCAGACUCUCAUUCAACUUAGCAUUGGCCACAGUGGAUUGUGGUAGUCUGUCUGACGCUCCAUCUGUCCCAUAGACCCUCAAAUGCCAAGUCCUUCACUACCUCAGUCUCAAGCCCACAUUCCAACCAUGCCUUUCUCAGAUCUGUAGGCUUCUUUCUGCCCCCUGUGACUCCUCAGACAGUUCUCCUCCUGGGACACAUCCUCUCCUAUCCCCCUAUCAUGCUGGCUAAGCCCCACCAACUAGCACCUCCCCCAAGCAGCUUCUCCCUGUCCCUUGAAGAUGAACUGAGACCUCUCCCCUCCCCUCCAGCCUCUCUGCUUCCUCCAUCGCCCUCAUCUCAAUCUUUAGGACCUGUAGUCACCCGACCUGGUUGAUGGUGCAGCCUCUUGGCCCCACCAGGACCUUCCUAGUAGAAAGAUGAAGACCAGUGAGGGUCACAAAUGAUUCCUCUGCUCACGAAGAUUCUAAUAAUGUUGCUGGUGUGGACUGGAACCUUCUGCCUGAACACUUUUGAUUUCCCACCAGACUUUGAGCUUGUUCUGAGAGUACAAGGCAUCUCUCGAAUUCUUCUCAUCCAAUAAAAACACAGGGCAUCUCAUUGAAUCCAAAUUGCAGAUGAAUGAUGAAUAAAUUGAGGGGUCCAAA